UACGUAGGAGGCAAGCGUUGUCCGGAAUUACUGGGCGUAAAGCGCGUGUAGGUGGUGGGACAAGUCUGCUGUGAAAGCGCCUGGCUUAACCGGGCGAGGUCGGCGGAAACUGUCCGACUAGAGGACGGUAGAGGGGGGUGGAAUUCCCGGUGUAGUGGUGAAAUGCGUAGAGAUCGGGAGGAACACCUGUGGCGAAGGCGGCCCGCUGGGAUCUGGCUGAUGCUGAGGCGCGACAGCGUGGGGAGCAAACAGG
rnacentral:rRNA from 1 species